UGUCGUUGAAAACCGUGUGCCGCCAGCGUGGAGGACAUGCGCAGCGAGUCUGGAAGUUGGUGAUGAAGGGGGCAAUGAGUCGGUGUUGGCCUCGCGGACGAGCUGACUAUUCUUCACGAUGUUGGCCUAUUUCUCUAAGGAGGCGGCGAGGGUGGACACAACCGCGACCUCGUUCCUGGCUUCUUGUUGAUGUCGACGGUUCUUUCUCCUCAACGAUUGUUCGACGCGCUCCAUGUGCGUCAGCACCUUCUUCUUCUUGGCCGACGCGGCCCUUUUCACCAACCGUGGCUCCCGACGAAGGCGAAGGAGGCAAGGUCGGUGAUGGCGUCGAGCAGGGGCGGAGCUGCAUGCAGGUACCCUGUUGCCUGUUUUUUACUGAUACUUUAACACUUGGAUCAAGCGUGUGCAUGAAUGCAUAAGGCUAAACUAGCAACGGUACAACAAGGUAGAUGUAGAUGCAGCUCCGCCCCUUGCAUCAAGAGUCGGCGCGUCGUCGUUCAUGGCACGCGCGGGGAAGGGUAGGCGGAAAAUUUUGGAUGGAAAUGGUGGUUGUGUGCCACCGACGGACGGGCUAGGAGGAGGAUCUCGUGUCCGCGCGGACGCAAAUCCGACCCAAAUUUAAACCUGAAAUGGGUUGCGGGUAGACAAAAAACAAAAAACAGACUGUGUUGGGCUGUGUUUUGUGUCCAAGACGGUCUAAAGGGACACGAGCAGACGAAAUGAAUCGUCCGGAGCUGCGCUUGCUCUCAAUUCUCGCAUCGCAAACAGGGCCUAAGAAAGAAAAACUCUGUUGCAUAAUUUUAUUUUAUUUCUGUACGUAGUUCCAACUCUGCCGUGGGUGUGUGUGUAUGUCUACUUCUCUAUACAACACGCAGGAGAAGUCUGUUGUGUGUGAUCUGUGAUGUACAGGUACAGCUGCCGCUGCUGUGACAUGUGGGCACGGAGUCGAGCGGCGCCGCCAUGGAUUUGCGUCUUCACUCGACGUAGGCGACGGUGCAGCCGUAGUUGAGCGGGCUCUCGUCCUCGAUCCUCACCACCCGGGGAUGGCUCCGGAGCACGUCCAGCGCGCACUCCUUCACCGCACCGGUGCCCAUGCCGUGGACCACGAACAGGACCUGGUACGGCCUGCACCCGUCGAUCGCCAUCUCCAGCUCGUGCGACGCCUCGCCCACCCGCAUCCCCCGCAGGUCCACCGUGUUCCUCGACGUCUGCACCGCCGGUGCAAACGACACACUGCCAGUAGUCGCCGUCCCCGCCGGAGACCGCUUCUGCGCUCGUCCCUGCCGCCGUAGAAGCAAAAUUAUUAACUUAGCAGAACAGGGCCUGGUGAUAGAUAUCACUAUCAGGGCAAGACUGAAACACCAAGGCUUGGUUGGUGAUAAUAGACAAUGUUGACCAUAUAACCAAUCAUACACUGCCUAGUGCACAUGAUAUGAUGGGAGUUGAGUUAAUUAAGGUGCAUGUAUGGAUCCACCAAUCUAGCUUUGCAUGGACCAAUGUGUGCCUGCUCCAGCCUAGCUUCCUACUCAACACACUGCUGCCCUGCAUCUACCCCAACUAAAGCCGAAAUAAUCAAUAGUACCAGCAAUGUCAGAUUCAAUGCAUCCUGUAGGGCUCGAGCUAACUAGGUUUCCUUCCUAACUUGCCAUACUAACAUGCCACGUGUAGGACAGGGAGCGUACCGACAUAAAGUAGGAUGGUGGAUAUGCCAUCACUGCGUGCGUGCGUGUGUGGCUCAAAACAUAACGGCCAGUUGGCUGGGAAACACAUGAUACCAGUCUCAUGGGGCAUCCGACGACCCAACUCGAUGGAAAGGAGCGACAUAUGCAAGCCUAAAGUUGAGUCCGUCCUUCAGAGAUACAAACUGGGUGUGCUAGCCUAGCAUCUGCAGUUUCUGAAACGAUUAGAACGAACCGGCAUUGAACACACCAUGUUUCUAUGCACAACAGCACAUGAUGGGACGACUGAUGAGUGUUAACCAGACCUGCUUUACGCAACCCAGACUACAGAUACUUGAAUAGGAUCUGAGAACAACCUAGAUGCCAGUGAGAACCUCAGCAAAAUAUCGCUGAUGCAUUUUAUCACGGACACAGCAGUGAAAGAGUAACCACGGUUAUAUCGACGAAAUAUAUGACAUGAACUAUGUCAAAAGCUACAUUAUAAGUGGUUUCUAACAUUGCAAACAGGUUUAUCAUGUUGCAAGCUAAAUGAUGAGUAAAAAAAAUUUAAAUGCGGCUGGAUAAUCUAUUAUAGAGCAGAUGCAAAGCAAACCUUUCCUUGUGCCGAGGAAGAAGUCGAUGUUUCCUUCCUGUCUCUCUGGGCCAACUUCAUCUUGUUAUUCUUGGCCCGGACCUUUAUUUUUCCAUACUGAACCAUGCAGCUCCCAUCUUCACUGAGUAUCUCGACAACGGUAGCCAUGCUUCCCCCUCCCAGUCCUUCCACAUACACUUUGUCUCCAAUUUGUGGAACAUAUGAACUCUUGUUUUCGUCGUCGCUGACAGCGAACUCAGUGGGCUGAUGAGCAGCAGCCAAUGAAGCCGUCGCAGCUUCUGCUUUCCUCAUUACUGAGUUGUACUGUUCAAGUUUUGAAUUCUUAAGUUGAACUUCAAAGUUCUUGAUUAGAAGGUCCAUCUGAGACUUUACAGACUUCAACUCUUGUUGCACCUUUUGAGACUCUCUGGCCUUCAAAGCAGCUACUCGGCUAUCUAGCUCGUCCGCUUCUAAGCGAAUCUUCAAAAUCAAAUUAAUAUCAAGUGAGGUUUCAACUGAAAGUAUGAGAAUCACUACUGUGGAAAUGUCAAACAAGAUAAUAACAGUAAAGAGAUGUACCUCGUUGUAAAGAUCCUCAACUUCUGAAAGGACAGAUGCUACUUCAUUUGCCUGGGACUCCAGAAGGUUUCUUUCGUCCAGCAGGGAGCCGUAAAGUAAACCUUGGCGUUCCUUUUGUUUGUCAGGCAAUAGUUUCUCAACCCAUUCUUGUGCACGAUCGAGUACUUUCUGAUCAAAGCCAAUUGACUUUGCAAUGCUCAAUGCAUUUGAAUUACCGGUGCUUCCCCACAAUACUCGAUAUGUUGGUUUCAGAGUUUCCAAACAAAAUUCCAUUGCAGCAUUCUCAAAUCGAUCAUCAACAGCUUUAAGACGGCUUAGAUCAGCAUAAUGGGUUGUCACGACGGCCAAGUUUAGUCUACUAGCAAGGUACUUCAAAAUGCUAGUUGAAAGGGAUACACCUUCUGAUGGGUCAGUACCGCUGCCAAUCUCAUCAAUAAGAACAAGAGAAUCGGUUGAUACAACUUGUGCAAUCUUGCGAAGACGUGAUAUGUUCCCGCUGAAGGUAGAGAGGCUAUUCUCCAGAGACUUCAAUCCAGAAAACAGUUUGCAUCAAUAAGCAUAUUUGUCCCGCAAGUGGUUAGAGAAACUCUCUUCAAAAGACAGAGACUACCUGGUGGUCACCAAUGUCUGCAAGGACCUGAUCAAACCAAGGAAGCCUAGGCCUUCCUUUUGCCGGGAAGAACAUUCCAGCUUUUGACAUAAGAGAGGCCAAUCCUAAGGUCUUCAUAGUAGCAGUUUUGCCACCAGUAUUAGGUCCGGAGAUCACAACUAUCCUAGUAUCAUUCUUCACAUGCAUGUCCAAUGGAACAGGCAUUGCAGGGACAGGUUGGUCUUCAGAUAGUUGUUCUUUCCCCACUUCGGUUGCUUCAGUGGUAGCCGAUUCUUCUGCAGUGCCAAGGGACUGUUCAAGGAGCAAAGGAUGUCGAAUUCCUUCAAUAAAUAGGGGGGCACUUGGGUCCGAUUCACUAGUGUUAUCCCUGUCACUGAAGGCAGGCCUCACGCCAUUUAUCCAUAGGGCAUAUGAACCUCUAGCACAAGCCAGGUCCAGCUCCAGUAUUUUCCCCAUCAAAUGCCUGAUCUUCGUCCGGGAAUCUGCUAUUCUUGAAGUUAGCAAGCCCAAUACUGCCAACUCCUCGGCUCUCUCAUCGCCUGACAGUUUGACUUCAGUGUUGUUCAGCUUGACGGCGUCCCUUGGCUCCAUAAAGUAGGUCGCGCCAGAGCCACUGGAACUCAGAACAAUUCCACCAGGCACCAAAUGCUUGUGUGAAGCUUUAACACCCACGCACAUUCUAGAGCGGCGCUUAGUGACCACAGGGCUAUCAGCCCCGCCUGCCUGAAAAAUCAUCACGGAUGUUUCUCUCAACAAAGCUUCUAGCAUAUCAACGUUCAUCCUCCUUUCCUUGCGGAUCGUUCCUAAUCUUUCGCUGGCCCGAUCAAGGACCAUAGAAAGAUUGGAGUCAAGGCAAAACUCAAUCAUUUUUACAAGCUCUGUUAAGAAGUCGCAGCCCUGCAGUAUAUCCAGAAGAGGGGAGUACCUGCAGAGAAUGAACCAACAAAAUAUCUUAAGAUCUUCUGCCGUUGGUAACAAUUAUGCAACCCAAUACUACUCAAGCUGAGUUGCAUGUCUGGGUAUAGUCCAAACAGGGCACUGCAUUCAAAUUUUAGCCCAAAAUUGCAUGCCACUUGCACAAAGGAACCUAAUCAGCUACAAGCUGAAACAAAACUGAUUCGAAUUCAUCAAUGUUGUGUUUCAAUGUUCACUACAUAUACACACAAAGUGCUGUAUAUCUACCAAAGUACCAAAUCACUAGUACAUUUUAGCACGAUUCCAUUCCCACCCAACAAUGAAGCUGAACCAACUCCCUUACCUCCCAUCUGGCAUCUCCUCGGCGAUGGUCUUCACUUGGUCGAACACCUCGCGCGCGGCCUGGAGGCUGCGGCCGACGCCGCAUAUCUCCCGAACGGCGAGCAGCCGGCCACNNNNNNNNNNNNNNNNNNNNNNNNNNNNNNNNNNNNNNNNNNNNNNNNNNNNNNNNNNNNNNNNNNNNNNNNNNNNNNNNNNNNNNNNNNNNNNNNNNNNNNNNNNNNNNNNNNNNNNNNNNNNNNNNNNNNNNNNNNNNNNNNNNNNNNNNNNNNNNNNNNNNNNNNNNNNNNNNNNNNNNNNNNNNNNNNNNNNNNNNNNNNNNNNNNNNNNNNNNNNNNNNNGCCGCCGGAAUGGUAGUGGCAGCGGGAGGUCUCCGCUUCCCGCCGGGGACGGAGGUGGGAGUUGGAACGCGCGGCAGCGUCUAGCUUGCCUUAUCCAAUGUCCAUACGCUUCCCAGUGGGCUUAACGCACAUGUGGAAUACGCCUUCUCCCAUCGUUUACGUCCACCCUCUGCGUUUGUGCCUGAGCCUCUGCAAAUUCUUAUACAGUAGGAAACAGAGUAUCUGAAUAAUCCAGGAGGAUCUUUUUUACAGCUGAAAAUUCAUAGGGAAGUCAUAAGAGUAGCAGAACUAUUCACAUUGCUUUCAUAGAUAUUAUCAGAAGAUAAAAAGCAGCAGAACAAUUCACAUUCCACAUUGUACAAUAGAAGGGGUACUGCAUCUGAAUAAUUCAGAGAUAUAACCUACACUGGUGCUGUCCAAUGAAUGGGUGGGUAUACAACAAUGGUGGGGGAUGGGAUGGAUGGAUGCAUGCGAUGGAUCCAAAUUAUACACAGGGAAACAACUACAGACCUGCACACAUACAUACUACACAAGCGCACACGAUCAUAUACGCUAGAAAUCGGCAACAACAUUCUAGCUCUACGGUUUUACUUGGCGAGGAUGGUGGCGCCGCAGGCGGCCCCAGCGUGCUUUCCUUCGGCGAACACUAGGUUCCCCCUCACGAAUGUCGACAGGACCUUGCCCGAUAGCUCAUUCCCAAGGUACGCCGAGAUGUUCUGCAGACAAAAUGCGCGGUCGGUUUGGUUUCUUUUUGAAUUUUGUAGGACCGUUGUAGCAGUGUAAACAUUCAUGUUUUUUUUGUAGUUGGGGAACUAACCCGGUGCUUGUGGUAUACGGCAUGGCUGUCGUCGAGAUGGAAUUGUGCCUCGGGAUUCCACACCACAAUGUCGGCAUGGUACCCCGGCAGAAUAGACCCCUGCGCAAACAAGCACAGCUCUUGAGUUUCAUGGUUUGAAUCCAAUCAUUUGCAACCAACAUUGCUUUUUUGAAAAUGUAAAUAUGCUAUGUACUGUUUCUGUUUUAUUUUUCUUUCGGAUAGUGCAACUCCCCCGAUCUCUGUGUUAUUAGAUGCACUGCUUACCUUGUUCUUCUGCCCCGCGAGCUCGGCGGGCUUCUCGCUCCACCAUGAGGCUAGCUGGUUCAGGGUGAUGCCAUACUUUUUCCCGUGUGACCAUGUUACAGGGAGGACAAACUGCAGAAAUUUGUGGGGAAAACACUGUGAAUUCGCAUCUUUUCUCUAUGUAUGAAGUAGUUUGGCAUUGUGAUUCUGCUGAAAAAUGUUCGUGCUUACACAAACUGACCUGCAGAGAUGAGAUACCUCCCCAUGCCUUCAUGAAGUUGCCUUCCUCCAUUAGCUUGAGAUCAGGAGUCGACGGCGAGUGGUCUGAGCUGAGCAUGUCGAUGUGCCCGUCCUGGCAUUCGUUCACGCAAAAGUUAGCCUAGCUAGAACUAUUAAUCACAAGAUUGCAGCGAGUCGGAAUCGGAAAGGAUGGGAAAUGGCAUUACAAGCAGAGCUUCCCAGAGGUUUUCCUUGUUGGCAGCAUCACGUAUGGGAGGAGAGCACUUGAAACGAGUGUCUCCGUCUGGAACUUCCUCAGCCGAAAAUGCGAGGUAAUGAGGACAGGUUUCUAUAGUGACUUUUGCGCCACUGUGUUUUGCAUCCUACAAACACAAAACAUAUCGGUCAAACGCCGACCAAGAGAACCGAGGAAAUGGUGGGUAAACUAGUAUGUCGCGUCAUACCUUUAGAAGCCUGAGGCUAGUUUUUGAAUCUGAGAGAUGAACAAUGUGAAGAUGAGCUCCUUCUGACCGACCCCCCACUUCAGUGUCUUUCAUGGCACGUUUCAAAUCUCUAACGGCUGAUUCCUCCCUGGGUAUAAGAGAAAACAGAAAUAAAUUAGUGAAUCUCAGUAAUUCAUUCAUCUGAAUUCUACACCCAAUAGAAAACAUGAAGCUAUCUCCAGCUCAGAGAGAGUAAAAUCCAGUUACAUUUGAGACAAUGCAAAUUACCAUGCAGGUGUUCUAGAUUUCAGGUAUGUUGCGUAUGAUCGAGGAUCCAAUUCACCAUCAAGCUCCUCAUCACUCGCGACAUCCGGUAUGCGUUCUGCAUGGAUAAGCAAGGGUCUCUUGUACUUUGCCAAUGUAACUAGGCCCUCCUACAGUGCGAAAAUAAUACGAUGCUCUUUUAGAAAGUUCAGUAAGCAGAAUUAUGAAAAUCUUGUCGAUGCCAAGAAAAACAUGACAGCAUUGAUAAAGCAGCGCACCUCGAUAUGAGUUGAAUUUGUCAUGGGGAAGUCGUUGAUACCAGAGGGGCACAUGAAAGACUAGAAUAAAACAAUAUUGUCAGUUUCUCCUUCUAGUGUCAAUUCUUUUUUUUAUAAAAGGAAGGAAGGAACAGAGGAAAACAAUAAUGUGAACCAGAAUUGAUGAGGCCUGUCUGCUAGUUUAGAAACAAACCUUAAGCCCUAACACUCCUGCAUUUAGCAGGCUCUCCAAUUUGCUUGGGUUCAAGGCGUUCUCGGGUACAAGGCCUCCCCAAAACCCUAUAUGAGAGUGCAAGCAAGUCAGAUAUGACAUAUGAGACAGAUUCAGACAAAGCAUUAGGGUUCAAAAACAAAGCAAAAAUGCUGAAAUCCUAUGCGCAUAGUAGAUAAAAUAAAUUCACUGUUCUGACUCUUGACAUUGCCAGUUUGGCAUGGUAGUGAACCGCUCCACUUACCGACAUCAACAUAUAGCUUAUCCCGAGCUGCAUCCACCUGAUAAUCAAGCAUGUUGAUGUUGGUGUUAGUAACAGAAAAGGCUGGGAGGAACCAUGUGCACGUUAUGGGCUAGUGUACUAAGUACUGAUGUAACUGCGUCCAAAGAGAAGCACUCUGAACCUUGAGUUUAAGAGUUUCUUCAGAGACCGUUGAGGGGAAGCUGUUGAGAGGCAUGUCCACCAACGUAGUUAUGCCACCUGAAAAUGGAGGAAUUAAUUUGCAGGACUAGUGUAUGCAGCAAGAGAGAAUACUUCUUAUUACCAAAUCCUGCCAAAUCAGUCGUAAUCCGGUAAUGUUGCUUGCUAUAUACUGUACAGUCUGUUAUUAGUUAACUUAAUGAUGGCUACUUAGCAUAUUAGGUCGCUUCUGAAUCCUGAUUAGCACAGACAGAUACAGGCCCAAGUGCUUUGGAGUGUGGCUCUGAGCUAGUAAUAAAUUAUAACGGAUUCACACCUGCGGCGGCGGCUCUUGUGCCGGUGGAGAAGCCCUCCCACUCCGCCCGCCCGGGCUCGUCGAGAUGCGCGUGCCUGAAGGUACAACGCCACCAUGAAACUCGAGGCGAUCGAGUAAUUUAUCUUGAGAGAUCAGACAGUGAGUGACGGUUUGUUUGGCUUACACGUCGAUGAGGCCGGGCAUGAUGACGGCGUCCCCGUAGUCGACGAGCGGGCGGCGGAGCACGAAGCUCCGGUAGUCCCCGACGGCGAUGGCGUUGAUCAGCCCCUCCUUCACCUCCACUGCACACACGCACAGACACGCCAAUCACGUAUCAGCUUUUGACUUUUUCUUUCUCGCGCAUUUGCUUCCACCAGAUAUGGACGGAAGCGCGGGGGUCAACCGUGAACGCCGGGACGACGGAGGCGCAACGGCAGGGGGGCGGAGUACCUGCGGCGGGGCCGACGCGGCCGAGCGCGACGACCCGCUGGCUGGCGAUCCAGAAGNNNNNNNNNNNNNNNNNNNNNNNNNNNNNNNNNNNNNNNNNNNNNNNNNNNNNNNNNNNNNNNNNNNNNNNNNNNNNNNNNNNNNNNNNNNNNNNNNNNNNNNNNNNNNNNNNNNNNNNNNNNNNNNNNNNNNNNNNNNNNNNNNNNNNNNNNNNNNNNNNNNNNNNNNNNNNNNNNNNNNNNNNNNNNNNNNNNNNNNNNNNNNNNNNNNNNNNNNNNNNNNNNNNNNNNNNNNNNNNNNNNNNNNNNNNNNNNNNNNNNNNNNNNNNNNNNNNNNNNNNNNGGCGACUUGCGUGCGCGGCCGAUGCGGACGCGCGGGGUUCGGUGCACCGCUCCGCGAACCCGGCGCACUGGACAGGGGAGAUUACCGGUUAUUGUGGGCCCGGGGUAGAGAGGGGGAGGGUUCGGUGGACCGGGUCCUGGGAGGGGCGUGGGGACGGAGUUUGUUCGGGUACGUCGUUGCUGGGCGCUGGCUGGAUCCCUCCAAGUGGCCGGGGCCCACGGGGAUUUGGAAUCUUUUUAUAAGUAAGCGUCAAAAAAAAGGCACACGAGAUUCCUUUCCGUUGGGAGAAAAAUAAAUGGGAGAUUCUGGUGCGGGCGGAGGUCAUGUGACGGCCCUUCAUUGGCUGCCCCUUCCCGGCACCUGGAGCCUUGGAGGCUUGGGAAGCGACGGCUCGUGCUGGCCACGUUCACCCGACCGAAAAUGGUUAAUCCAUUUUUCACGGAAAAGCUAAAAAUCCGUCGUCAAUUUUGUAGACAUGACAAAUUAAAACGUUUUUCAUGACAGUUUAUAAUAGUGUGAUAUAGUGAUGGAUUUGUCAUGCUCGUCAGCUAAGUUUGUCAUCCUCAACGAACACUACUUGGCAUUCAAAAACGUUGUUUGAUUUGCCAUGCUUGAAAAUCUAACAUUACCGGCAUAUUUUGGUCCGUUUCAUUAUGAAUGCAUUUUCGGUGCUUCUUUUGUGACAAGUUGUUUGUACAUUUUGUACUUGCACGACCUGAUAGAGGUAAAGUGUCUCUAUCUUUCGACGAGAUGAUGAUUAUCGUUUUGGUGUAGUAGACUUUAACAAUCUGACUACGAAUGUGUGAGGACGUCGCGUCUUAGCAAUCGUCAAUCCAACUCCGAGAGGUUAUUGACCACAUCGAAGUACGAUCAACCUGACCACGAGGUUAUGUUUCCUGCACGCAAACGAAGAACAAGCAAAAAACUAAGAUUGCAAUUUGGAUAUUACGAAUAUAAAAGAAAAGUUUUAUUGAUGAAAGUGGGGCGUUGUGACGCCUUUGUCUGGUCGUGGAACACAAACGAAGAACGCGAAGUUGCAGCUAUGGAGAACUUGUAAACUAAACAAAACCAAGUCUAAACGACGUCCUAAGGGCUGUAUAUAUGAAGGAAUAGAGGAGGAAUUUCGUGACCCCUUGGAGGAGGGGUUUGAAACCGACCCUAACUCAGUUUCACCAUGCAUACAGACUCUAAGAAUAGCCUAUAAUAUGGUAUUUCGAAAUUACAUGGGUCUAGCCCAAAAAUAAGGUGACGCGACACCUAUAAUAGCAUAUGGACGAAACUUAUAAAGUGACGUCUUGAAUAUUUCGUCCAAGCCUUCAUGCUCUCCUUAUGGUGGCUUUAAAGUGCGAAAAUCACAAGUGAAAGCUCCAUUGUUCUUUCCUGCGCGUGCACCUUCUUCUCCAUGCUUGAUCCCGCUGCAACGGAUAUCCUUCUUGUCCAUGUUAGGUCCUUCAUUCAUAAGUACAACAAAAGUAUCUAACUUAGGCAGCAUCAUAUGUUCAUAAACAUUAGAACGAUUUCCAAAAAACAAAAGUACCUGGUAAUUUGAUUGGCAUGCGUGAGCUCUAGUAACUGGUCCAGUAUGUAUAGCAGCUGGUGUUGUGGAUGUAACAAUGGUGUUGAUGUCCUCAUUACGAUCUCGACGAAUUGUUUAUGAGUAAAUUUAAAAAUCAUAUGGAAGCGCAUAGCAAAUUCGUACCAAUAGCUAUGUUAAUGCUAAAUUCAACACUCUUUUCGUUCGCAUCGGGCACGUCUUGCUCUAGCUGUCAGCUGUCUGUUGGGAUCUCUUGCUUCGGUUGUGGCGAGUAAUCGUCCUUAACUUGUGUGUCCUCAUGGUUGCACGCCUGCACCAUGGAUCAUGUUCAUCAUCGCCUUGUCGGUGGUUGUCGUCGAGCUUAAGGGUGGAAUUCCAUCAAACACUAACUAGGCAUUGCUGAACGAGGGCUCCUAGGACAAGCUGCGGACUACGACUUCGCGAACAUGUGUCCGUUUUGAGAUCGAUGGUGUACGAUGAAAGGCGAGCAGAGGAGGUAGGGUGUUACGGCGACUACGUCUUGGGCUGGCCAUUUAGAUGGUCGGCAUAGUAGUAUGAUGGCUUGUACUCGGGGCGGGGUUGUGAUUGCCCGGGAGCACCGCCCCGGCAGUCACAUGCGUAUGAGGAACUACAGCCGCGAAUGUUGCCUUAUUGGAAGUUACGGCUAUAAAGCUCCCCCCUUGUUUUUCCGUCGACCAGACCACGCACGAUGGGGUUGUACAAGUCUAAUGGGAUGACGAACAUCAUGAGGGCUCCGGUGAAUCCGUCGCGGUCGUGGUGAACGUCACAACGUGUGGGCGUAGGCGUCCGGGGUGAAAAGGGUGUGCUUUGGCGCGAGAACUAUGAAAACUAGAUGAUGCCCCGCACGUUGCUGCGGGAAACAUGAUAAACAUAUAUACAAAUAGAUGUCGAAAAACAAAAACUAUUGCUAAAAAAUAUUAGGAUUGCUCUCGUUUUAUAUUUUAAGAACAAUAACUCAUAUGAAGCAUUUGACAAAAGAUGCGUAAAAAAAGUGUAACAUAAUCUACAUGUAUUUGCUCUAAAAUAUAUACCGCUUAUGCCCAUAACAAAAAUUAGUGAAACAAUGUGUAGAUUAGUGCAUACAUUAUAACUUAUGAUCACAUGCAUGACUUGAUGAUGUGACAUGGUUACCUGAGGAAAAAUAAAUACUUAUGGCUAAAUGCAUGACUUGAUGAUGUACUCCCUCCGUUUGUAAAUAUAAGUAGUUUUAGAGAUUUCAUUAAAGGAAUACAUACAGAUGUACAUAGACAUAUUUUAGAACGUAGAUUCACUCAUUUUGCUUCGUAUGUAGUCCACUAGUACAAUCUCUAAAAAGACCUAUAUUUAGGAACAGAGGGAGUAGCAUGGUUGCAUGUGGAGGAACAAUAGGUAGUGGGUUUCAAUUAUUUAAGAAUAGAAGAUGUGCAGCCUAUAGGUGAGGUUUUGAGUGGGUUCGGGGUGUUGAAGUUUGACGUGGCGGACGUCCGGUCACUCCACAACUCCCUUGAUUUGGGGUCGGCUUGAGAGAUUUCGAAUGGCGAAAACCGAUCGAAUCCAAUUUCAUGAUACACGUCGAAGGCUUAAUAGUUGUUAGAUAAAACGAGAUCAACGAGACACGAGAGACACGGAUUUUUACGUGGAAACCCUUGCGGGAGAAAACCACGGACGCACGAAGGCGCAAUCACUAUGAGGGUGGAGUAUUACAAGCACGAGACGACAUGCCGUCUUUAGGUGCGACUACAUGGAGUAUAUAUGUGGGGCAAUACAUGAGAGUCCUUAGAGGACAAGUAAACGAGUUGUACUCGUACGCGUCGGUACCAACGCAAGGGCCCACACCGUUUGUACUACGUCUAGUCCAAUACGGUAGAAUUUGGAUCACAAUUUAACAAUCUCCACCUUGAGCAAAAUUCCCUCUAGUAGUCGAAGAAAGUGAAUAACUCCAUCCAAAUCAGCUUAAACACCUUGUGCGUCAAAGUCCAAAAGGACUAGUGAGAAAUACCAACUAAGCAUGAGCAAAGCUCAAACUUAUUGGUAGGAACUGACUUUGUCAUCAUAUCAGCUGGAUUAUCAUGAGUACUUAUCUUGCAUACCUUCAAAUCACCUUUAGCAACAACAUCUCGAACAUAGUGAAAUCUGACAUCAAUGUGUUUUGUUCUCUCGUGAUACAUUGGAUUCUUUGUAAGAUAUAUAGCACUUUGACUGUCAGAAAAUAUGGUAGGGCAAGAUGAAUCUCCACAAAGCUCAGUGUACAAACCUCUCAACCAGAUAGCUUCUUUGCAUGCCUCAGAAAUAGCCAUAUACUCGGCAUCAGUGGUGGAACAAGCCACAAUAGACUGCAAAGUUGCUCUCCAACUCACAGCACAACCACCAAUGGUGAAAACAUAACAUGUGAGCGAUCUUCUCUUAUCCAAAUCACCAGCAAAAUCAGAAUCAACAAAACCAACAAGUCCAUCUCCAGUUUUCCCAAACUGUAAAUACGCAUUAGAAGUACCUCGCAGGUAUUUGAAAAUCCACUGAACUGCAUUCCAAUGCUCUUUUCCAGGAUUAGCCAUGUAUCUACUAACAACACUCAGUGCAUAAGAUAAAUCCGGACGAGAACAAACCAUGACAUACAUAGUGAACCAACUGCACUCGAAUAGGGAACUCUAGACAUGUACUCAAUAUCUGCAUUUGACUCAGGACAUAAGGCUGAUGAUAAUUUGAAGUGUGUAGCUAAAGGAGUACUUACUGGCUUGGCAUUAUGCAUAUUAAAACGAUGAAGAACUUUAUCAAUAUAUCCCUUCUGACUGAGAUAUGAUUUUCCAGACGGUCUAUCUCUGGAUAUUUCCAUGCCAAGUAUUUUCUUUGCUGCACCCAAAUCCUUCAUCUCAAAUUCAUUACUCAAUUGCUUCUUUAGUUCAUCAAUCUCUGACAUGCUCUUUGCAGCAAUUAACAUCUCAUCAACAUAAAGGAGCAAAUAAAAAGCUGAACCAUUGACAGUUUUCAAAUAAACACAGCUAUCAUAAUUAGACUGAUUGAAACCUUGAGAGAGCAUAAAGGUGUCAAAUCUCUUGUACCACUGUCGAGGGGAUUGCUUCAAUCCAUAAAGAGAUUUCUUUAACUUACAGACAAGCUUUUCUUUUCCAGGAAUAACAAAACCUUCAGGUUGUUCCAUAUAAAUAUCCUCUUCUAAUUCUCCAUGUAAGAAUGCAGUUUUAACAUCCAAUUGUUCAAGCUCAAAAUCAUUCAUGGCAACAAUACUAAGUAAAGUGCGAAUAGAGCUAUGCUUCACAACAGGAGAAAAGACUUCUUAUAGUCAAUACCUGGAAUUUGGCUAUAACCUUUAGCAACCAACCUUGCUUUAUAUCUUGCCUCAUCAUUAGGAGAAACACCUUCCUUUAUUUUGAAAACCCACUUGCAACGAAUAGGUUUCUUCUCUCUAGGUAAUAUUACUAAAUCCCAAGUGCCAUUCUUUUCAAGUGAUUCCAUCUCAUCAUGCAUAGCAGUCAUCCACUUAUUACUAUCACCAGAAAUAAUAGCCUCGGAAUAUGAAGAAGGCUCAGCAUUACCUUCAAUUUCUUCUGCAACAGAUAAAGCAAAAGAAACAAUAUUGCACUCCUCAAUUAACCUCACAGGUGCAUUAAUACCCCGCCUAACUCUAUCACAUGCGAGAUUCCAACUGGGUGGAACAAUAGGCUGAUUUGGAGUGACAUGUUCAUCAUCAAAGACAGGUUCAUCAUGUGCAUCAGCAUUUUCCUUAUCAGAAGUAUCACCUGAGUCAAUAACAUGCUCCACCUGAACAGUAGGCUGCUGAACAGUAGGCUGCUGUUCACUCUCAAUUGGAACAUUAGUAGAUGCAACAUCAUGUAACAUAGCAGAUUCAUUAAAGAUAACAUUUCCUGCUAAUAACAAUCUUUUGUGUUUUAGGAUUCCACAAUUUAAAACCUUUAACACCAGAUUUGUAACCAAGAAAGAUGCACUUAACAGCCCUAGGCUCCAACUUCCCAUUAUCAACAUGAGCAUAAGCAGUGCAACAAAAAACUCUCAACUGUGAAUAAUCAGAGGUGAACCAGACCAUACCUCAAUUGGAGUUUUCUUAUUAAGAGGAAUAGAUGGUGAACGGUUGAUGAGAUAACAAGGAGUGGAAGCGUCCUCAGCCCAAAAACGCCUAUGCAAACCUGCACUGGGCAACAUGCAACGGGCUCUGGAAAUAAUGGUCCUGUUCAUACGCUCAGCAACACCGUUUUGUUGAGGAGUAUAAGCAACGGUGUGGUGUUUGACAAUGCCUUCAGACUUGCAAUAAUUCCCAAAUUGCUUAGAACAGAAUUCCAUACCAUUAUCAGUGUGAAGUAUUUUUACUUUCUUUUCAGUUUGUCUCUCAAUCAUAAUCUUCCACUCCUUAAAAGCUGAGAAAGCUUGCCAUUUAUGAUUCAAGAAAUAAGGCCAAACCUUUCUCGAAUAAUCAUCAAUAAUAGUCAACAUGUAACUAGCACCACCUAGUGACUUUUUCCGAGAUGGUCCCCAUAAAUCAGAAUGCACAUAAUCAAGAAUACCUUCAGUUGUAUGAGUCGAAGUGUUGAACUUCACCCUCUUGUGCUUGCCGAAGAUACAAUGCUCACAAAAUUUCAAUUUACCAGUUUGAUAUCCUUUAAGAAGACCUCUCUUAUUUAACUCUGCCAAACCAAGUUCACUCAUAUGUCCAAGACACAUAUGUCAAAGGUUAGAAGCAUCACAAUCAGAAUUCUUUGAAAUAACCGGAGUAGCGUUACGUGAAACGGUAGAACCUCGAAGAUAAUAAAGACCAUUGGUUGAACUUAAGUCACCUUUCAUCACAAUAAGAGAACCUUUGGUGACCUUCAAAACGCUAUCUCCACCUGAAUACUUGUACCCCUUUGCAUCAAGGACACUCAUAGAGAUAAGAUUUCUCUUCAUCUUCGGAAUAUACUGAACAUCUGUCAAAGUUCUGAUUGUGCCAUCAAACAUCUUGAUUCGAAUGAAACCUAUGCCUUCAAUCUUGCAUGGUGAAUUAUCAAAACCAAAACGGAACCAGCAGCAGUAGUAGAAUCAAAAGUAGUAAACCAAUCUCUAUGCGGGCACAUAUAAAAAGUACACGCAGUGUCAAGUACCCACUCAUCAUUGGUCUCAACACAUCCAGCAAUAACAACAAGAGCAUCAUCGAAACUAUCAUCACGAGCAACAUUAGCAGAAUUUUCACCUUGUUUGUUACCUUUCGGUUUAUACGUACCAUUCCUUUUUUUUCCUUGUUCUGCAACUUAAAACAUUUUGAGAUGUCAUGCCCGUCUCUCUUCCAAUAUCUGCAAGACUCCUUCUUGUCUCUGGAUUGCGACCAGCCCCUCUGGCCGUUCUUACUUUUGUUGGUGAGAUCUUUUGUCAUGCAAAUCCUUUCACCUUUAACCAUAGAGCGGUGGCAGUUUUCUCGCUCAAAACUUCCUGUAAAAUAUUAUCAUGCAAGUGGAGUAGAAUUUGUGACAAAGCUUUACGGUCCCUUCGUUUCUCCUCAGGAGUCCAAUCCUCAAUUCUAUUCUUUCCAAAACUGUCCAGUGCAUCAUCGUAGUCGGCCUGCGCCAACAACACCCACAUAUUGACUUGCCAUAGGGUAAACCUUGUGUCACGGUCCAGCAGCGGAAGAUCGUACUUCAUGGAUGUCAUGAGUAGAUAAAUCUGUGUACACAAAGUAGUACAAACCGGUAGAAAAAUUCUUGACAGAAUUAAUAUGCAGAUCAAAGAAUUAUUGGAAAAAUAGCACCUGGUAGUAUUGGGCAGUGGAUGUAGCAAUUGGAGAGAAUAGUGUAAUCUAAACUAGUACUAGUCCUUCACGUGAGAUUGACUGCUUCAACGUGAGAGAGAGAUUGAUGGGAUCCUGGUUCCUGUGCGUGCAAGCAGCAACAGGAACACAACAGGCAGCGGCGUAGAGUAUUACUCGAGCCUGGUGGCUUCACCUCGAGCAGCUUGGUGCGUGGAACAGCAGCAACAACCACGCGUUGGGAGCGUGAAGCAGCAGGAACAGCCUCGCGUCUCGUACCGAUCCAGACACGACGGAUCGGAUAAGACUGUGCAGAAACAACGCAGCAACCGCGGCAGCGAUUUAACAGCGGCGGCCUGCAGCGACUCCCUAUCGAACUCGGCUCCGUAAUCGUUCUGGCUUCGGAUCGCCGGAUCGCUUCAGCGGCGGCUCACACGAAGCCGAACCUAGCUCUCGUCUCAAAUCUCGUAUCUACGAACCUUAGCUAUGUAUAUCACUUGUUAGAUAAAACGAGAUCAACGAGACACGAAAGACAUAAAUUUUUGCGUGGAAACCCUUGCGGGAGAAAACCACGGACGCACGAAUGCGCAAUCACUAUAAGGAUGGAGUAUUACAAGCACGAGAUGACAUGCCAUCUUUAGAUGCGACUACAUAGAGUAUUUAUGAGGGGCAAUACAUGAGAGUCCUUGAAGAACAAGUAAACGAGUUGUACUCGUACGCGUCGGUACCAACGCAAAGGCCCACACCGUUUAUACUACGUUUAAUCUAAUACGGUAGAAUUUGGAUCACAAUUUAACAAUAGUGUCUGAACUAUCUGGUUCAAAUAUUUAAAGAGUUUUGGGACCGAACAACGUCCUGGUGAUCCGUGUUUGUAGAUGUCCCAAGCCAUAUGUGUGAUAUGUUAGGUCUAAAGGCAAUUACUGGUGUUCGUUGUACUGUCAUGAUUAAAGAGCGGACACUUGUAUGUGACAGUACAGGUGGUCUAGAUUGUGUUGUGAGUAGUUAGUUUUAGCGUGUUUUGGAUGGUGUUAGUGUGCCAGCUAUAGAUCUACGAUUGUCAGCAUCUUGUGACCUUGUGUUCUCUUCUAUAAAAAAAUAUGGCAUAUUAUUGGCAUAUCUCUAAAACAUAGAUCAGAAGUUUUCCAAAGAAAUAAAAUUCGAAAGGCUAUGCCAACAGCUGGGAUUGCGUCCACCAUCUGCGGGCAAAAUGAACCAAAAUUUGCCGAGAGGAAAAAAUAUGGACGAAACUAUUUCACACAUGUCGUUAUGCUGUAUAGCAUAACGUUAUGCUAUACAGCAUAAUGUUCAAGACAUAGAUAUUAUGCCAUACGGGAUAGCUCCUAACAUGUAAGCCCUAUGUUGCACGGUACAACACGCUUGAGGCAUGGGCGCUACACCGUGUAACAUAGGGCCACAUGACAGGAGCGCUACACCGUGUAGCAUAGCGUCUAUGUGUAUUAGACCGUGUAGUAUAGCACCUAUAUACUCCUUCCGAUCUAUAAUUCUUGCCUUAGCUUUGUUUAAAAAUGUAUGUAUCUAAAUACUAAAAAUUAACUAGAUACAUUUAUAUCUAAAUAAAUCUAAGAUAAGAAUUUUGAAACGGAAGGAGUAUUAGAUAUACAAGAAAGAGUAAGAUUUUGUGAAAUAAUUUCACUAUAAGUUUAGUUUUUAAAUUAGUUUUGUCUUUAAGUUAUUUUUGUCCAUUUUGCCUCGUUCGUGCGGGGCAGCUGACCAGUGAGGGAGAUAGAGGAUGGCCCAACCUGAAAUAUUUUCAAUGGCUUUAUAUCAUUAAAAAAAUGUUAAAAAUAUUAUGAAAAAAAUAUUUUUUAUGAACGGUUUUACUAUUGGACUAUCCUGACCCACUAGACUAGAUCCGGUACUGCAGCUGACCACCACACCAUGGAUGCAGCGCCCAAUCGGGUCAGCUAGACCGGGUGUGCUGGGAGACUCCGUGAUGGGCCAGAGUCUGUUUGGAUGCGUGACUGGGAGGGGAUUACCUAUAGGAGCCGCAGAAAUAGGCCCGAGAUUCCUUUUUCUGUCCUUUAUUAUUUUAUAUAAGAGAAAUACGUAAAUCGGAGAUUCUCUUGGAGUGAUGCGUGAUGACUGAUGCGGAUGGGCAGCCAGGAAAGGUGACGGCUCACGACUGGCUACUCGGCCUACGAGACUCAACGCAACGCAGGGAUGGGCACUUCACCUUGCCAGAUUCAGCGUACGUACCAGCCGGCGGCUGUGCUGAAUCUUUGCCACUCUACGUCACCGAUGAAAAUUGACGCCGGAAUUCUUCUCUUCUCCGGCCACCGCACGCCGUCUCCCCUCGCCCCUCUUUCUGUCUUCUCCGGCCACCGCACGCCGUCUCCCCUCGCCCCUCUUUCUGUCUCCCUCGUCCGUUCGUUCAUGGGUCAACUCCAUCAUUUUAUCUUCUUUUUCUAGCCCGACCGCAACCUAUAUUCAUGUUGAUCAUUUGUUUCUUCUUUCUUCUUCCUUGCCCUUCUUUAUUCGGUUUUCUUGCCGGUCGUCCUUCUACCGAUGGAUGUCGCGGUCAAAUCACAGACGGCACAUGAGGCGGAGAGAAGCAACAGCUCGUACUGUGCUAGAUUUGUCGAACCCAGAUGUCCAAUGCAAUGUUUGUACUAUUAUUAUGAAUACUUUUUUGUAUUUUUCUGCACAAGUAUUUUUGUAAUUUAUAUCAUAAAUGAGCAGGACACAUUCAGACUACUCGCAGUGUUUAGGCCAAAUUCAGCACUGCCUCCCCCUUUUUUGCGCCAUUUUGGCCGGUUGGGAAGGCUGAGGUCUAGCAGGGGAAGAA
rnacentral:lncRNA from 1 species